rnacentral:tRNA from 2 species
GGGGGGAUACCAAAGCGGCCAACUGGGGCAGACUGUAAAUCUGUUGUCUUACGACUUCGGAGGUUCGAAUCCUCCUCCCCCCA